UAGUUUGAGUAUAAGCCAGUCACCUUUCUGUCAGUUUAGAAAACUAAAAAACUUUAGAAUAAAACCGCUCAUCAUUAAAAAUUCAAGUUUAGGAAAUAGUGAGUUUAUUAAAGAAGUCAAAGACUGACAGCAGAUGGAUAUUGUUUAUUGGUUCUUUCCAUCACAUCUGAGUUACAGGUGCAAAAGUCACACAAACUGCAGGUAUAAACAUGUAAAACAAUACAAAAAUAAAUGGAAAGGUAAUUUUAUAUUUACUGGAUCAAGUUGUGUAAUAAAUACGAUAGGCAAAAAGCUUCAAUCACACCAUUCAGUUUUAACUGAAGUUACAGCAGUGUUUGUAAAGACAAGGUUUUAACUUAAAGUUGCAAACAUUAAAGCAUUGAGAACUAGUAUAAAAGUGAAUUUUGGCACAUUGUAAAGUGAGAAGUGUUACUUUAGGAUCUGACUGUUGUGUAACAAUGAAGUAAUUUCUUACCACCUUUCUGAGGUACAUUUUAAACAAUCUAAAAUUAGAUCAACGAUGCGGUUCUAACAACUCACAGUUAACAAUUCACUCUACUAGUCACAAUUUUUUCCCUUUUAUGAAUACCGAGGUAUUCCAGAGCUUCAACCUGUGCAAAUUCAGUACAGUUUCAAUUAAAAAAUAACAAUAAUAAUAAUAAAAAACUUAUUAGGGAACUUUUUCGCGCAACUUAAACCUUCCCUGCAAUCAGUUUUGUUAAUUGCAAAGUGUAAAAUGGGACUAAUACCAAAUUGCACAGCUUAAUAUAAAAUACUCCGAGAUUGCAGCGCAGUUCAAGUUGCAAACGUUCCUCUCCUAAGUUUAUCACAUUUUUUUCUCCCUAUAACUUCAGUAACUUCUGAUCAACACUCAUUCUCGGUGAGGGAAAAAAAACCACACGCACCACCACGAGCUGCUAACAAGAAGGUCAGCAAAGCGCGUAAACCCCUUGAGGACUCUCAGCACUUCUUCAUGGUCUCAGAAAUGCCUGGACACAAAGUUACUACGAUCAAUUUUCCCAAGUAAAGGAGAAGGGAACAGCGUAAUGGCACUUCUUCUGUAUCCAAACAUUUGUGGUUUAGAAAUAGUGCUUUUUCUUCUUUUUUUUUUUUGUUUUACAGUAGCUAAAAAAAAGUUUGCAAAACUCUCUUAAUUCUCACCUCGAUUUCAAAUGAGUGAGGAUACGAGAUCACCCACCGGCUGGGGGUUCAAUACAGUACAAAUAUCUCUGACCAGAGUACAAAAGUUAUGCUUUUUUAAAUCAAAAAAAAAGUGCUGCUGACUGGUAGAAGAACCCUCCAAAUAAUCAGCAACCGCUACAAAACAUCAGCAGCAUCAGGCAUUUACACAUUUUAGUCCUCAAAGAGUUUUCUUUUAAACAGUUUAACCAUUUGUGCUAAUAUUCUCCACUAGGUUAAUUUGAAGUCCUUUCACCAAAACUGUUUUUCCUUUAAUAAAAAAAUGAGGCUGCAAGUAACGCAACCCAUGACAUCCAUUUAUUUUUAUGCUUCGUUAAUAAAUGGUGUCAUCCGCAAGGCACUACAAUGUUUAAAGGAUACCAUCGUCACAGUUUCACUAUUUCGGUAUUUUUUUUUUCUGUUUUAAAGUCACAGUUUAAAAAAAAAAAUUGAGGUAAUCAAAUUAUUUCAAUACCAAAAUAUAUUAAUUGAAAUAGUACCAGUAUGGUGAAAGGUCUUUAUAAUACACAGCUAUGACCAUAUAGCAUGCAGUACAGUAUAUAAGUAUACUAGGCCUUUGUUUCAAGCUCUUCUGCCUCAGUUUUUAAAGGAACAGCUCAAUUUGCACGGUAUUGGGCCAAUUUUGGGCUUAUUUCCUUUAUGUUCAUGGGGCAUCUCACCUGUAAUUACAACUCCGCAGGUGAAUUAGCCCCACUGACAUUGAUUUUUGAGCAAAUUGGAGUUCUUAAAAAAAGAGCUCAGCAGAGCAAAAAGAAGCUACAGUAUCUUCAUCUAUAGAUCAAUCAAUUGCACUUAAACCUACUCUGUUAUCAGUUGAGACGCAGCACUGACGACGUGCCCGCUGUCCCCAAGCCCUGGUGUUUCUGCUGACGUUACGUAGUCAUACGGCUACUCUAGAAAUAUGGCUUUGCAGAUUAGACGUACUGAAAAGGAACAUGCUGGGUUUACACUAAGUUCAUUGACAAAGAACUCUAAUUUAUCAAGACUUCUCUAAUGCCCCUUCAUAUUGCAGUGUUACAACCAGAACGUUAUCCUCUAAUAAUCCUGGUCUGAUAAAUAGUUUCACGUAACCAAGCCUACUUAGUUUGUAAACCCCUGCUCGCCCCCAUAUCCACUGCUAACUACCUUUGUUCUACCAGGCACUACAGUAUAUUAAGACUAAAGUAUAGCCAUGCAUAGAUAAACCCACGAGCCUUACCAUGAUGCUCUAUACCUGUGAUACGGGUUCCCCCGAAAGCCUAAAACCACAACCUAACGCCGGCUUUUCUUGUACUUUAACAGGAUACAAGCAGUUUAUAAAGUCUCGCGGUGUGCAAAACAAAAAUUCUUAAAUUCAGACAGCUUUUUAAAAUCUAGUAAGAAAGCUAGGAACGAAACCUUAUCAACACCUAUAUCCCAAUCUGCAGCACCUGGAAUUCCACCUCUGCACUGGAUAAAUGCCACAGCACAGGCACCGUGCCAGCUAGUAGCAAUGUGGACUGAAAGUCUACCUAAAAGGUGUUUCAGUGUUUGAUAGGCUUAAUGAAAUUUCAGCUGUUUCGUUUUCCAAAGGUAAAAAUCCAUAUUGCUUAAAUAAAACUAUCUUGCCUUAGUUCAAUGGCAGGAGUUAAAUCUUACUUUCCUGCCACAGAAAGAGACUGCUUGGACACCUAAGUAUCUUAAGUGUACUGUAAGAAAUUUUUCAUUCUGUUCCUUACUACAUUAUAUCUGACAAAAAAAUAAAAGUUGCAGUUGAUUGAGCUGUUCCUAAGGCAAAGGAAUAUGAAAAUAAAAAUCCCCUCCCUGACUGUUUGCACUUGACUAAAUUAUGAACACGCAGCACGCUACUGUAAUCUGUUUAUUCAAAGAAGCAUCGAUAACUACCAUUAAGUAGCUGCUAAGGUACCUUAUGGUCCUUCAACCAGUGAUCAACCUAAAAUUGUGAAUUAAGUUCAAGGACAAGUCGCCAGAGUUCCUCUUAUGACAGCAUUUAGGAACUAUAAAGGUUUUGUUGCAAAUAUUACAGUGUACAAAUCCUUCUCAAUGCUUCAAAAACAGAUUCUUUCAUAUUCAAGCAUAUAUUGUGAUGGUUUUUUUCCUUUGGAAAGAAGUUAUUCUCAUGAAAAGGAAUUCUUUAGCUAAAGAAUCUCCCUCUUCUCUCGCUUUGCUUAGAUUUUUAGCUCUGAACUUCAGAGAUAAUCUUUUAAGCAAUAGCAAGUUGCAGCUUACAGUCAUUCAUAUAUUUUCAAGAAUACCAAUAACAAACCUGGGAAGAAAACACGAGAUCUCCAUUUCUCUUGUUUCACCCAGGAACGUAUAAAUAUCUCUUUAGGAAAGUCAAUAUUCUGACUGCAGAUUCAAAGCGUGCAGAGGUUAUGAGAUGUGCUGUCCCCACAGGAAAAAGCAGCUGCCCAAUUGUUCCCACAUUUCUCGCUUUAGGAACACCCCAACAGCUGUGGAAUUAGGUACUCAUUUCUCACUUUGGGAACACCCCAACAGCUGUAGGAUUAGGUACUCUUCUGAGUUUUUCAAUUGUUCCCCCAUUUCUCGCUUUGGGAACAUCUCAAUAGUUGUAGGAUUAGGUCCUCUUUUGAGUUUUUCAACUGUUCCCCUAUUUCUCGCUUUGGGAACACCCCAACACCUGUAGGAUUAGGUACUCUUCCGAGUUUUUCAACUGUUCCCCCAUUUCUCGCUUUGGGAACAGCUGUGGGAUUAGGUACUCUUUCGAGUUUUGUAAAUGUUCCCCCAUUUCUCGCUUUGGGAACACCCCAACGGCUGUGGAUUAGGUACUCAUCUGAGUUUCUCAAUUGUUCCCCCAUUUCUUGCUUUAGGAACACCCCAACAGCUGUAGGAUUAGGUACUCAUCUGAGUUUCUCAAUUGUUCCCCCAUUUCUCACUUUAGGAACACCCCAACAGCUGUAGGAUUAGGUACUCAUCUGAGUUUCUCAAUUGUUCCCCCAUUUCUCGCUUUGGGAACACCCCAACAGCUGUAGGAUUAGGUACUCAUCUGAGUUUCUCAAUUGUUCCCCCAUUUCUCACUUUGGGAACACCCCAACAGCUGUAGGAUUAGGUACUCAUCUGAGUUUCUCAAUUGUUCCCCCAUUUCUCGCUUUGGGAACACCCCAACACCUGUAGGAUUAGGUACUCAUCUGAGUUUCUCAAUUGUUCCCCCAUUUCUUGCUUUGGGAACACCCCAACAGCUGUAGGAUUAGGUACUCAUCUGAGUUUCUCAAUUGUUCCCCCCUUUCUUGCUUUGGGAACACCUCAACAGCUGUAGGAUUAGGUACUCAUCUGAGUUUCUCAAUUGUUCCCCCAUUUCUCGCUUUGGGAACACCCCAACAGCUGUAGGAUUAGGUACUCAUCUGAGUUUCUCAAUUGUUCCCCCAUUUCUCACUUUAGGAACACCCCAACAGCUGUAGGAUUAGGUACUCAUCUGAGUUUCUCAAUUGUUCCCCCAUUUCUCGCUUUAGGAACACCCCAACAGCCGUAGGAUUAGGUACUCAUCUGAGUUUCUCAAUUGUUCCCCCAUUUCUCGCUUUGGGAACACCCCAACUGCUGUAGGAUUAGGUACUUGUCCAAGUUUAUCAAAUGUUACCCCAUUUCUCCCUUUAGGAACACCCCCCAAUCCCA